rnacentral:rRNA from 1 species
CUCAGUUCGGAUUGGAGUCUGNAACCCGACUCCAUGAAGCUGGAUUCGCUAGUAAUCGCGCAUCAGCCAUGGCGCGGUGAAUACGUUCCCGGGCCUUGUACACACCGCCCGUCAAGCCAUGGGAGCCGGGGGCGCCUGAAGUCCGGGACCGCGAGGACCGGCCUAGGGCGAAACUGGUAACUGGGGCUAAGUCGUAACAAGGUACC